CGGGGACCCGCACAAGCAGCGGAGCAUGUGGUUAAUUCGAAGCAACGCGAAGAACCUUACCAGGGCUUGACAUCCCUCUGACAGUCCCUUAACCGGGACCUUCUUCGGACAGAGGAGACAGGUGGUGCAUGGUUGUCGUCAGCUCGUGUCGUGAGAUGUUGGGUUAAGUCCCGCAACGAGCGCAACCCUUGUCUUUAGUUGCCAUCAUUCAGUUGGGCACUCUAGAGAGACUGCCGAGGACAACUCGGAGGAAGGUGGGGAUGACGUCAAAUCAUCAUGCCCCUUAUGUCCUGGGCUACACACGUGCUACAAUGGCUGGUACAAAGAGACGCAAGACCGCGAGGUGGAGCAAAUCUCAAAAACCAGUCCCAGUUCGGAUUGCAGGCUGCAACUCGCCUGCAUGAAGUCGGAGUUGCUAGUAAUCGCAGAUCAGAAUGCUGCGGUGAAUGCGUUCCCGGGUCUU
rnacentral:rRNA from 2 species